CAGCUACAACCGCACGAAAUGAGUAUUAAGUCUUCUCUAAGGAGCGCUUAUAUUCGGCGAGUCUAAGCAUAUU
rnacentral:sRNA from 1 species